ACAGGGAAAGUGAAAACCUUCUUCGGUUCUUCCCCGUCGCCAAGCUUCACCUUAUCAAAUUCCACUGCAAUGUAAAAAUGGUGAACCAUUUCUGGGAAUUAUAACAUGAAACAUACAGACCCAGAUGGCGAAAGAGACUAUAUACUAACAAAGCAAGCCCAUAUGUGCUUGAUAUGUGCACAACUGGUCAUAUUCACCAGUGAUUGGGUUCAACGGAGCUGAAGGAGUGAAGGUUUUCAAAAUGUGUUCGAAUUAGUGGUGGAGACCACAAGGUUACAUUUUCGGGCAAUUUCCAGAUUACAAUCGGAAAAUUUUAUCCCCAUUGUGCUUGACAAAUCUGUAUGCACACCAAAUGUAUGUGAAAAUGCCGCACCCAUUUCAGCUAUGAAUACAAAACCACGUUUUGGGAGGGAAAUUUGGAUGAAUCAGUGGACGACAUUGUGGACUUUGAAAAUUUGGAGGGAUGACUUCUUUAUAUCUAUAAUGGAGAACUGCCAACUUGGCAAAAGUUGUGGGUCAACAUUGCUCAAAGAUGGCAUAAUGAAUUUCUAGCAGACCUUGUAGCAUUGGAGGACUGACCAAAACCGAACAGGUUUCUCGGCACGUUGAAUGUCAGUUGGGCUUGAUUGCCGCAGAUCUUCGAUCAGAUUGUGUAAAGCUUCAUUUGUUUUUGCCAAUGGAUUGCACAAAGGUUCAGGCCGGGCAUUAUCCUCUUCGGCAAUAAGAAGUGAAAUUGAUUCCUAGCAGUCAAAACACCUCCAUGAACAAGUGCUGCACUCUCGCUACUCCAAAGAUAUGGAGCUGGAUCAUUAACUGAACUGCAUUGUGUUGGCAAUGGAGGUCCGCAAAGUCCUGAGUUUCCUUCAAAUGAGGUUGGGUCAUUGAAGGUGAGGAAUUGGUUGGCUGAUGGGAUUGGCCCAGAGAAGUUGUUGAAUG